rnacentral:lncRNA from 10 species
UUAAGAUGGAGUUUCACUCUUGUUGCCCAGGCUGGAGAGCAAUGACUCUGCAAAAAAAAUAAAAAUAAAAAAACUUAUUAUGUAUGUUUAUUAGUGAUGUGCCUCACUCCAAGGAAAUCUGUUUUUAAUAUCAAUAUUGAUGAGAAUUUGAAGGGCAAAUUCUAAACCGAAUUACUCUUCCACUCCUGUAUGAUCCCAGGCUCUGCUUAUCUCUCCAACACAAUGUUAACUCAUGCCUAACAUCUGAGUGUUCACAAUGCUUAUGACAACCCAGUGAAGCAAGCACUAGAAUGAGACCCAUUUUAGACAGGGAAGCUAGGUUUCCAGAUGAAGAAACUUACUCAAGGCUGCAAAGCCUCUAAGCAGCAAAAAUAGCUCGGUCUCAGCAUGAUUUGUAGUAGUUAGUCCUAUGCAACAGUGGGCUGCACAGCCUGUCUCUCAACCCACACAGAAAACGACUUGG